rnacentral:rRNA from 1 species
GACGAACGCUGGCGGCGUGCUUAACACAUGCAAGUCGAACGGUGAAGGGACCGGUUUUUGCUGGUUCUGGAUGAGUGGCUAACGGUUGAGUAACACGUGAGUAACCUGCCCCCUUCUUCUGGAUAACCGCAUGAAAGUGUGGCUAAUACGGGAUAUUCUGCGCCUGCUGCAUGGUGGGUGUGGGAAAGAUAUUGUUUCUGUGGGGGAUGGGCUCGCGGCCUAUCAGCUUGUUGGUGGGGUGAUGGCCUACCAAGGCGGUGACGGGUAGCCGGCCUGAGAGGGUGGACGGUCACAAUGGGACUGAGACACGGACCAGACUCCUAAGGGAGGCAGCAGUGGGGAAUAUUGCACAAUGGGCGCAAGCCUGAUGCAGCGACGCCGCGUGAGGGAUGGAGGCCUUCGGGUUGUAAACCUCUUUCGCCAGUGAAGCAGGCCUGUCCCUUUUGUGGAUGGGUUGACGGUAGCUGGAUAAGAAGCGCCGGCUAACUACGUG